rnacentral:misc_RNA from 1 species
GAAUUGCGAAAAGUAAUGUGAAUUGCAGAAUUCCGUGAAUCAUCGAAUCUUUGAACGCAUAUUGCGCUCUCUGGCCCUCCAGGGAGCAUGCCUGUUUGAGUAUCAGUAAUUACCUCACUCCCCCUAGUGGGUGUGGAGCUGAGUGUUCUGUUGUGUGUGCAGUGAUGCACGUAUGGCAGUCACUUGAAAUGCAGAGCGGACGACAGUCACUGCUCAAUGGUUAGGCGUAUUAGUUCUCCUUGGAGAUCCACCUGCGCCGGUGUUGACCAUAGAGCCUUGUGUUGGCUUGUUAGUCCCCAUACCUUGUACUGUUGUAGCUAGUCAGCAACAAUAGUCAUGACCAAAGCUAUACUGCAGAUUGCAGUAUACUUGAUUUUGAUCUCAAAUCAGGCAAGAGUAC